rnacentral:ncRNA from 1 species
CAAAGGUUUGGUCCUAGCCUUUCUGUUAAUUGUAAUUAAACCUACACAUGCAAGUUUCCGCUGCCCAGUGAGAAUGCCCUAAAAAUUGAAUCCAAUUACUAGGAGCAGGUAUCAGGCACACCUUAGGUAGCCCACCACGCCUUGCUCAACCACACCCCCACGGGAUACAGCAGUGACUAAAAUUAAGCAAUAAACGAAAGUUUGACUAAAUUAUAAUUAAUUUAGGUCGGUAAAUUUCGUGCCAGCCACCGCGGCCAUACGAUUGACCUAGAUAAACAGAAAAACGGCGUAAAGCGUGUUUAAACUUAUUACUCUUAAUAAAGCUAAUAUACAACUAAGCUGUAAUAUGCUCCAGUCAGUACAAAAAUAAAUCACUAAAGUAGCUUUAACAAAACUGAACACACGAUAGCUAAGAGACAAACUGGGAUUAGAUACCCCACUAUGCUUAGCCCUAAACCCAAAUAAUUCAACAACAAAAUUAUUCGCCAGGGAACUACUAGCUACUGCUUAAAACCCAAAGGACUUGGCGGUGCUCUACACCCACCUAGAGGAGCCUGUCCUAUAAUCGAUAACCCCCGAUAAACCUCACCUCUUUUUGCCAAUUCAGCCUAUAUACCGCCAUCGUCAGCUCACCCCAACAGGAAACAAAAGUAAACAAAACUAUUAACCAUAAAAACGUUAGGUCAAGGUGUAGCAUAUAAAGAGGAAAGCAAUGGGCUACAUUUUCUAUACUAGAACAUAACGAACCAUCUUGUGAAAUCCAAGAUGUUGAAGGAGGAUUUAGUAGUAAAUUAAGAAUAGAGAGCUUAAUUGAACAAGGCAAUAGAGCGCGCACACACCGCCCGUCACCCUCCUCAACCAACCUAAACUUAUAACUAAUUAAUCAAAUACAAUAAUAGAGGAGAAAAGUCGUAACAUGGUAAGCGUACUGGAAAGUGCGCUUGGAAUAC